GGUUUGUACACAACGAAGUCUACGAGGCCGCAGAGGCCUAUCUAGCCACCAAGAUCUCUCCUUCAAACAAAAGAAUCAAAGUGAGUAAACACGAGAAAGAAAACAACUACAACGUCACCGUGGAACGUGACGAGGAAGUUGUGGAUACCUUCAACGGCGUCAAGUUCCGGUGGGUUCUCCAUUGCCGCCAUGUUGAGUCCAAGAACUUCCACAACCCACGGGAUCUAAACUCCACACUCAAAUCAGAAGUCAGAUCAUUCGAGCUCAGCUUCCACAAGAAGUUCAAGGACAUGGCUCUUGAGUCUUACUUGCCAUUCAUGGUCAAAAGAGCUGCGGUGGUGAAGCAAGAAAAGAAAACACUCAAGAUCUUUACUCUUGACCCAGAUAACAUGUAUGGGAACUACUCAGAGGCUUGGACCUCUGUGAUUCUUGACCAUCCUUCUUCCUUCAAGACCAUAGCAAUGGAUUCAGAUGUCAAGAGAAACGUGAUGGACGAUCUUGACCAGUUUGUGAAGCGAAGGGACUUCUAUAAAAGGGUUGGUAAAGCUUGGAAGAGAGGUUACUUGUUGUACGGUCCACCAGGUACAGGGAAGUCAAGCUUGAUCGCAGCCAUGGCUAAUCAUCUCAACUUUGAUGUUUAUGACCUAGAGUUGACCGCGGUUAGCAACAACUCCGAGCUACGGAGAUUGCUGAUUGCUACUGCUAACCGCUCUAUUCUUGUUGUGGAAGAUAUCGACUGUUCAAUCGAGUUGAAAGAUAGGGCAGCUGAUGAACCUCCACGUGAGUCCGAAGAAAGUAAUGACCCACGUUACAAAAAGGUGACACUCUCUGGACUACUAAAUUUUAUUGAUGGUCUAUGGUCAAGUUGUGGCGAUGAAAGGAUCAUAAUAUUCACGACCAAUUACAAAGAGAAACUGGAUGCAGCGUUGUUGAGGCCAGGACGCAUGGAUAUGCACAUUCACAUGUCCUACUGCACACCGAGUACUUUCAAAGUUCUUGCUUCAAACUAUUUAGAGAUCAAAGAACAUAAGCUUUUCAGCAAGAUCGGGGAAGGUAUUGAGGCAACCGAGGUUAGUCCUGCUGAGGUGGCGGAACAACUCAUGAAGAAUGACACGGUUGAUAAAGUUCUUGAAGGUUUAGUUGAGUUCUUGAAAGUGAAAAAGAUCCAAAACGAAGAAGAGAAAGCCAAGAAGGAAGAGAAAGAAUUGGAGAACAAGGACAAGACCACUAAGGGUAAAGAUUCGGAGGUUAAGAAAAACGAAGUGGUGGAUGAACAGGUUACGAGGAAUGAUCGUGUUGAUAAGGUUCUUGAAUAAUAUUUGAUUUUUGGAAUUUACUGUAACUACUUGAUAUCGUUUGCUAUUUGUAUUCCUCCAUUGGAAGUUGUUGUUUUCCUAUAAAAUAAAUGCAUAUAUAUAGCUUAUUCAAACUAGUACCACGCCAGAUCUUCAAAGCAAUUAAAAUUAUAUUUGAUUCAAACAUUUUGUUCUUUUACAUGAUUUGGAGUUGAUUGUGAUAAUAAUAUACAAGUCGCUAUAUUUUCUCUAAGAUUACCUUUAAUAGAAGAAUGACCCACACGUUAAGUCAGUCUUUGUUUACUAUUUAUUUCUAAUUUUCGUUUGAAGCACGUUCUUUUCUCAUGUCGACAAAUCAGAAAAACCACAUGACCAAGUCAUGGGACCCCCACUAGAACUCAACUUUUCUUUGUCUUUUUAAUUAUUUUAUUAGAAAGAAACUUCGACGUUGUUGCAACGAAAUGAUCCUCGCUUAUUCCUUGCUUCUAUUAGUCCAUGGUUCCCACUAAUAAUAAAUAUGAGUUCUGGGUACUCAGAACAAAGACACCCCAAAGCCAAAGAAAAUGAGUUCCUCUGACUCUUCUUCCGCGGAAACCCGUCUAGCCACGGCUAAGACGGUUCUCACAACCGCCGCAUCAGUGGCUGCAACCGCAAUGCUAGCUAAAUCACUAGUCCAAGACUAUUUGCCAGACGAGGUGCACCAAUACAUCUCUUAUGGCUUCCGCAUUAUCUUUGGCUACUUCUCAUCUCAAAUGACAAUAGUCAUCGAAGAGUUUGAAGGGUUUGUACACAACGAAGUCUACGAGGCCGCAGAGGCCUAUCUAGCCACCAAGAUCUCUCCUUCAAACAAAAGAAUCAAAGUGAGUAAACACGAGAAAGAAAACAACUACAACGUCACCGUGGAACGUGACGAGGAAGUUGUGGAUACCUUCAACGGCGUCAAGUUCCGGUGGGUUCUCCAUUGCCGCCAUGUUGAGUCCAAGAACUUCCACAACCCACGGGAUCUAAACUCCACACUCAAAUCAGAAGUCAGAUCAUUCGAGCUCAGCUUCCACAAGAAGUUCAAGGACAUGGCUCUUGAGUCUUACUUGCCAUUCAUGGUCAAAAGAGCUGCGGUGGUGAAGCAAGAAAAGAAAACACUCAAGAUCUUUACUCUUGACCCAGAUAACAUGUAUGGGAACUACUCAGAGGCUUGGACCUCUGUGAUUCUUGACCAUCCUUCUUCCUUCAAGACCAUAGCAAUGGAUUCAGAUGUCAAGAGAAACGUGAUGGACGAUCUUGACCAGUUUGUGAAGCGAAGGGACUUCUAUAAAAGGGUUGGUAAAGCUUGGAAGAGAGGUUACUUGUUGUACGGUCCACCAGGUACAGGGAAGUCAAGCUUGAUCGCAGCCAUGGCUAAUCAUCUCAACUUUGAUGUUUAUGACCUAGAGUUGACCGCGGUUAGCAACAACUCCGAGCUACGGAGAUUGCUGAUUGCUACUGCUAACCGCUCUAUUCUUGUUGUGGAAGAUAUCGACUGUUCAAUCGAGUUGAAAGAUAGGGCAGCUGAUGAACCUCCACGUGAGUCCGAAGAAAGUAAUGACCCACGUUACAAAAAGGUGACACUCUCUGGACUACUAAAUUUUAUUGAUGGUCUAUGGUCAAGUUGUGGCGAUGAAAGGAUCAUAAUAUUCACGACCAAUUACAAAGAGAAACUGGAUGCAGCGUUGUUGAGGCCAGGACGCAUGGAUAUGCACAUUCACAUGUCCUACUGCACACCGAGUACUUUCAAAGUUCUUGCUUCAAACUAUUUAGAGAUCAAAGAACAUAAGCUUUUCAGCAAGAUCGGGGAAGGUAUUGAGGCAACCGAGGUUAGUCCUGCUGAGGUGGCGGAACAACUCAUGAAGAAUGACACGGUUGAUAAAGUUCUUGAAGGUUUAGUUGAGUUCUUGAAAGUGAAAAAGAUCCAAAACGAAGAAGAGAAAGCCAAGAAGGAAGAGAAAGAAUUGGAGAACAAGGACAAGACCACUAAGGGUAAAGAUUCGGAGGUUAAGAAAAACGAAGUGGUGGAUGAACAGGUUACGAGGAAUGAUCGUGUUGAUAAGGUUC
rnacentral:lncRNA from 1 species